rnacentral:rRNA from 1 species
UACAGAGGUGGCUAGCGUUGUUCGGAAUUACUGGGCGUAAAGGGCGCGUAGGCGGCUUGGUCAGUCCCGUGUGAAAUCCCUCGGCUCAACUGAGGAACUGCACGGGAAACUGCCUGGCUUGAGUUCGGGAGAGGGAAGCGGAAUUCCGGGUGUAGCGGUGAAAUGCGUAGAUAUCCGGAGGAACACCGGUGGCGAAGGCGGCUUACUGGACCGACACUGACGCUGAGGCGCGAAAGCUAGGGGAGCAAACGGG